rnacentral:rRNA from 1 species
GAAUAUUGGACAAUGGGCGCAAGCCUGAUCCAGCCAUGCCGCGUGUGUGAAGAAGGCCUUUUGGUUGUAAAGCACUUUAAGCGAGGAGGAGGCUACUUGGAUUAAUACUCUAGGAUAGUGGACGUUACUCGCAGAAUAAGCACCGGCUAACUCUGUGCCAGCAGCCGCGGUAAUACAGAGGGUGCGAGCGUUAAUCGGAUUUACUGGGCGUAAAGCGUGCGUAGGCGGCUUUUUAAGUCGGAUGUGAAAUCCCUGAGCUUAACUUAGGAAUUGCAUUCGAUACUGGGAAGCUAGAGUAUGGGAGAGGAUGGUAGAAUUCCAGGUGUAGCGGUGAAAUGCGUAGAGAUCUGGAGGAAUACCGAUGGCGAAGGCAGCCAUCUGGCCUAAUACUGACGCUGAGGUACGAAAGCAUGGGGAGCAAACAG